rnacentral:rRNA from 1 species
GACGAACGCUGGCGGCGUGCUUAACACAUGCAAGUCGAACGGAAAGGCCUGCUUUCCCUUGUGGAUUGCGGGUACUCGAGUGGCGAACGGGUGAGUAACACGUGAGUGAUCUGCCCCCAACUUGGGUAUAAGCCUGGGAAACUGGGUCUAAUUCCCGAUAGGACUGCAGGGUGGUGCCUGUGGUGGAAAACGAUUUUCUAGUGGUUGGGGAUGAGCUCGCGGCCUAUCAGCUUGUUGGUGGGGGAAUGGCCUACCAAGGCGGCGACGGGUAGCCGGCCUGGGAGGGUGGACGGCCACAUUGGGACUGAGAUACGGCCCCGACUCCUACGGGCGGCAGCAGUGGGGAAUAUUGCACAAGGGGCGGAAGCCUGAUGCAGCGACGCCGCGUGGGGGAUGACGGCCUUCGGGUUGUAAACUCCUUUCGACCGCGAGGAAGCCACCUGGUUGGAAGGGUGGUGACGGUAGUGGUAGAAGAAGCACCGGCUAACUACGUG